AAAGUCGUAACAAGGUUUCCGUAGGUGAACCUGCGGAAGGAUCAUUAAAAAAAAAUAUAGAAUACUUUAUUCUUAAACCCACUCUGAGUACUUGUACUUGUUGCUUCCGUGGGCAGUGAGCUUUGUGCUUACAUCUGCGCCGAUGUGGUGGACCCACGGGAGGUAUCAAUAAACUCUGCAUUUUGUGACAUCAGUCUGAUUAUGUUUAUUCUAUGAACAUUAAAAACUUUCAACAACGGAUCUCUUGGUUCUC
rnacentral:misc_RNA from 1 species